GUUUAGGUUAAAUGUAAACUUUCAAAAUCACACUUGUUUGGUAAGAAGUUCCGCUCUAUGACGUCACAGUGACUCGCUUGAUAAUGCGAGUCUUCACCCAUCACCGGACGCUGCCUUCUGAAGAGUUGAUUCCAUAAGCGAGAAUAUAGAGCUUGCAGAAAUCUUCCUUCUUUCAGAGGCCUGAGACAUCUGAACCCAGUUCUCUCUCCGUCGAUGCCAGCUCCUCUUACCCACCCGUCAUCUGCAUCUUCUAGAUUGAAUUAUUGACUUUGUAUAACGUGCUUGGUAUCAGAAAUACAAAAAAAAAAUAAGGUAAGUUUUCAAUAAAUAUUUAUAGAGAGUUCUGUGGUCA
rnacentral:lncRNA from 1 species